rnacentral:tRNA from 1 species
GACUGGAUAGCCUAGUGGUCAAAAGGCAGCGCUUCUAGCACAGUGUCUCAGCUUAUGAUGAGGUCCCAGGUUUGAAUCCUGGUCUGGUCA